AUGGCCACGGCCAUGAAUGGGCAGGCCAUGUGCUGGCAGGUCGUGGAACAUACCGUGGUGCGUUCUGGGCUGGAGGAUAGUUGCAAGUAUUGUUUGGUCAGUGCUGCUUCUACCCAUCUGCACUACAUUAUAAUUUUUAGCAGCAUUGAUUUGUUUCAUCCUAUGCAGUGGCUGUCUAAUUCUUUCAGUGACCUGUAUAGUUCCUAUGUAAUCUUUUACCUCCUGCUGCUGUCAGUGGUAAUAAUAAUAAGUAUUUUCAGUGUGGAGUUUUAUACAGUUGUGCCUUCCAUCCCCUGCUCCAGACUAGCUCUGAUAGGGAAGAUCAUUCAUCCUCAGCAACUCAUGCACUCAUUUAUUCAUGCUGCAAUGGGAAUGGUGAUGGCCUGGUGUGCUGCAGUCAUUACCCAGGGUCAGUACAGUUUUCCUGUGGUUCCCUGCACUGGUACUAACAGCUUUGGUAGCCCUGCAGUGCAAACCUGCUUAAAUGAAUAUCAUCUUUUUUUCUACUGGCUGGAGCAUUUGUGGGCUAUAGCUAUAGCCUCCCAUAUUUUGUUAACAACAUGAACUGUCUUCCAUUUCCCAUCUUACAGCAAUACAAGUUUUUGCGUUUUAGGAGAUCUCUGCUCUUACUAGUUAAACACAGUUGUGUGGAAUCACUGUUCCUGGUUAGAAAUUUCUGCAUUUUAUAUUAUCUUCUUGGCCAUAUUCCCAAAACUUGGAUUAGCACUGCUAUGAACCUUCACAUAGAUGAGCAGGUUCAGAGGCCACUUGUCACAGUGAGUGGCCUCUUAAACCUCUCAUUACUCUACCAUGUCUGGCUCUGUGGUGUCUUUUUCCUGAUGACUUGGUAUAUCUCAUGGAUACUCUUCAAAAUCUAUGCCACAGAGGCUCAUGUGUUUCCUGUUCAACCAUUUGCAGAAGGGUCAGAUGAGUGCCUUCCGAAAGUGUUAAACAGCAAUCCUCCGCCCAUCAUAAAGUAUUUAGCCUUGCAGGACCUGAUGUUGCUUUCUCAGUAUUCGCCUUCACGAAGACAAGAAGUUUUUAGCCUUAGCCAACCAGGUAUCCCCACAAUUGGACAGCCAUUUCAAUGGGGUGUUUGAAUCUUUUAAACGGUAUGACUCAGAAACUGGUUCUCUAUCAAGAAGCUGCUGCUAUGAGUGGGAGAGUGUCUUCAUCUUACCCAGUGGAAUCUAAGAAAUUUAGUUCUCCGGAAGAAACUACUUUUCAAACACCAAAGUCUAGGCAGAUGCCUCGGCCUUCAGUGCCACCGUUAGUUAAAACAUCACUGUUUUCUUCAAAAUUAUCUACACCUGAUGUUGCGAGUCCCCCUGGGAUCCCGUUUGGCUCUAGUGUAGUGCAUCGCAUGGCUGGAAUUUUUGAUGUAAAUACCUGCUAUGAGUCACCGCAAAGUCCUCAGCUAAAAAGAGGGCCAAGAUUAUGGACAUCUGCUUCUGAUCAGCAAAUGACUGAAUUUUCUAAUCCUUCUCCGUCUACCUCUAUUAGUGCUGAGGGUAAGACAGUGAGACAACCCAAUGUGAUUUAUUCAUGGAUUCAGAAUAAACGUGAACAGAUUAAGAAUUUCUUGUCAAAACGGGUGCUGAUAAUGUAUUUUUUUAGUAAGCACCCAGAGGCCUCCAUUCAGCCUGUUUUUUCGGAUGCCCAAAUGCACAUUUGGGCGUUAGAAGGUCUGUCGCAGUUAGCAGCAGCAUCAUAUAGAGAGGAUAGAUUUGGAGUUGUCCAGACUACACUACCAGCUAUCCUUAAUACUUUGUUGACACGGAAAGAGGCAGUCGACAAGUACUUUAAGCUUCCUCAUGCUUCCAGUAAACCACCCCGGAUUUCAGGAAGCCUUGUGGACACUUCAUAUAAAACAUUAAGAUUUGCAUUCAGAGCAUCACUAAAAACUGCUAUCGAUAGAAUAACUGCUACAUUUGGCGAACAUCUGAAUGCUGUGCAAGCAUCUGCAGAACAUCAGAAAAGGCUUCAACAGUUCUUGGAGUUCAAAGAGUAGUGAAGUAAUAUCAACUGUGUUCCUUACACUGCUGAUACAACUACAGAUGGGACAGUAAAUGUUCAGCAUUCUUGGAUCAGAAGAAAAUGGACUAAUUAGAUGCUUCCUUUGUCGUGGUGGUUGCUUUGAAAACUAUACUUUAAUGGGAGAAAUCAUGGAAAGAAAUUCUCAACAGAAUAACUGAAAACUGCUUUUUCUGUACCGAUUGCUUUUUGUGUGUGUGGUAUAAUAAAAUCUUUAUUCCAUUUUACAGAAGCAUUGAUGGCAGUGGAAAUGUCUAGCUCAUAUAACUUAAUAAUCAUAACCAAACAACUUUUAGAAUUUACUUUUGAAAAGAGGGGAGCCAGUUCUGAAAUGAGAGUGCGUCGACUUCAUAGUCUUCUUAAUUAAGAGUUUAGCUGUUUGUGAACUCGAAAUACAUAAACUUUUUAAGUGUAGUUUUGUUUGCUAAAGGAUAAAAAUGGUAACAGUGCAGCAAAAUUCACAGAAAAAAUAUUGUGUAAAGGACAUAUUUUGUUAAUCUGUUAGGUUGUGUUUUGUUUCCAGGGACAAAUUAAAUUUGUAUGAUUGUCCAAAAAAGGGUCUCAGUUUACAGAUGCUAACUCUAUAAAAGAAUGUGGAAAAACUCAGUUCUUAAGUUACAAGAUUAAAAAUUCACAUUUGGUCUUUAAGAAACUAUUGACUGACAUCUAUGA